GACAAAAUCUAAAGGCUGAGCGGGGGUGAAUAUGAUGAUCUGGGUGUUCUGGGUUCAGAAGAAAGUAAAUUAUGCAAGAUGAAUCCGGAAACCUUGAUCCACAAGAAAGCAGGGACAUCAUCAAAAACCCUGACGCCAAGGAAGUGAGGUCGGCACAGUCGGGCAGGUAUGUUCUGUGACCGCUGAUAGCCCUGAGCUUCAGGGAAAGUCCAAACAAGGAUCACUUCAGUGCUCUGCCUGGAGCGCGCUGAGGCUCAAGUGUCACAGGCUAGCAGUGCACGACACUCGUGUCAGAGCAUCAUGGCUGGAGUUGGGGUCUUCUCAGGGCCUCCACAGCACGACACUGUAACCAUGAAAAGGACAUCGAGCCAGAAGUCAGAUAAUGAGGAUUCUAUACCUAACUACCUACUCAGGGGCCAGGUGAUCCAUCAAGGGAUGAUGACCAGUGCCAUCUGUGACUUGCUCUCUCCCAUACAGUAUAAGGAUAACAGCACCCCAGGCUUGGCAUAAUUUCGUUUAGCCUGCAAAACCAGAACGAAACAAAACAAGAACAAAAACCAAUCACCCACGACCGAAAAGAGAGGUGAAUUACAGAAAGGGUCUGGCUUUAGACCGAUUCAGUGUAUUAAAAUCUGUACGUAAACCAAAGAUAAAUGAGAAGACAGUUAUUCACUUUACUUUAGAAAUAUCUGAUAUAGGAAAUGAUGCAUUUUAAAAGCUCACUUCCAUAAAACGUUCAAAGCACAAUUCAAUUUGCAAAUAUUGAUUUAAAAUACACCUAUGGCGAGGCCUGAGGUACGGCUGCAUUUUAAAACCCACUAAGGGGCUUUGUACACAAUUUAGGCUAAUACGGUAAAGAAAUAGUACAUCACGCUGGGAUUGAUUGUUCCAGGCAAGUCCAGUCACUACUGUUUACAUGAGGCUGCUCCAAGGAAAACCAGAAUCUUCCACCUGCCUGGGAAGAGCGAGAACUUCCCGCCCGUUGCUGUUGCAGCGGGAGGCUGCUGGGCCUUGAGUCUGACCCGGGCGGAGCACGACCAGGUUCAGGAGGACCCGGUGCCCCGGGCUCCAGCCCCCGGUGAAGGCCGUGGGAGGCCCCAGCGCGCGGCCGCUCUCCUGGGGAGAACCACAGCCCUUUAGUCUAAAGCUCCGGGAACGCGAGCGGCGGAGCUCCCGCUCCAGUCUGAGCUGGUUGGGGGCGAGGUUGUGGCCAUCGGUGGGCGGUGUGUGCUGGGCAGUCGGGCCGGCCCGGGCGCGGUCAGCACCGGGCGGUCCCCGCGGUCAGCACCUGGGGGGUCCCCGCGGUCAGCACCUGGGCGGUCCCCGCGGUCAGCACCUGGGCCGUCCCCGCGGUCAGCACCGGGCGGUCCCCG
rnacentral:lncRNA from 1 species